UCUGCUUCUGCACAAGAGUCUGAGAAUGUUCUGAACAGUUCCCACUGAGUUCAUGAAACAGUGUAUCCUGACCUGUUCUUAAUGCAUUGCUGACCACAUCUACGGAACGUGAUUGUUGUAUUCCUUCAUGUUAUGUUCUCUCAAUAUCAAUCUUUAGUUAUAAUUUAAUUAGGAGGUUUCAUGCCUGUCUAGUUCCAGCUCCGUUCCCAGUCUUUAAUCUAUCAGUGAUUAAUGUAAUAUGUAAUUCCCGCCUUGUACCUAUGUUAACCAAUCAGCAACAAGAUGC